rnacentral:rRNA from 1 species
GUGGGGAAUAUUGGACAAUGGGCGAAAGCCUGAUCCAGCCAUGCCGCGUGUGUGAAGAAGGUCUUCGGAUUGUAAAGCACUUUAAGUUGGGAGGAAGGGCAGUAAGCUAAUACCUUGCUGUUUUGACGUUACCGACAGAAUAAGCACCGGCUAACUUCGUGCCAGCAGCCGCGGUAAUACGAAGGGUGCAAGCGUUAAUCGGAAUUACUGGGCGUAAAGCGCGCGUAGGUGGUUCAGUAAGUUGGAAGUGAAAUCCCCGGGCUCAACCUGGGAACUGCUUUCAAAACUGCUGAGCUAGAGUACGGUAGAGGGUGGUGGAAUUUCCUGUGUAGCGGUGAAAUGCGUAGAUAUAGGAAGGAACACCAGUGGCGAAGGCGACCACCUGGACUGAUACUGACACUGAGGUGCGAAAGCGUGGGGAGCAAACAGGAUUAGAUACCCGGGUAGUCC